GGGAGACUGACUGACCAGGUGGUCAGUGACUUCUGGAGCAAUCAAAGUCGUCUUUUAUCAAAGGAGAGAUUUGGUUUAACAAUCUGCCUUUGGAAGAACAGGCCUCAAUUUCCAAAAGUGAUUCCUAGUACUUCAGGUCAUCGACUUCUGGCUGUUUGACGCAAGAGACUUUAAAAGGGUGUGAUUUUCCCACCAACGCAAUCUCAAAAUCAUUCCCUUCAACAUAUUGCAGAACGGGCGCCCCAAAUCACUACUCACAGGAAACUCUGAUGAGGGUAAAAUCUUGACAUCAGUUCAGACGGGAUUCAGUCUGGAGAACAUGCAUCGUCUUAAGUGAAUACGAGGAAGCCUCGUGAAGCCUGGAGGACGAUUCCAGAUUUGGCCGGGGAGUUAUUGCUCUCGCGCAAAUCCCCAGAAGCUGCUGAAUUUGGACGUUGUGUAAUAUGUGGAUUAUGAUUCAGAGCAGGAUCAGGAUGGCACCUACUCAGACUUUGCAGAAACGAUGGGGAUAAACUAUCACCCAGAUGACCCAGAUUCCCUUAUGG